rnacentral:rRNA from 1 species
GAUGAACGCUGGCGGCGUGUCUAAGGCAUGCAAGUCGAACGAUGAACCCGGAGCUUGCUCCGGUGGAUUAGUGGCGAACGGGUGAGUAACACGUGAGUAACCUGCCCUUGACUCUGGGAUAACUGCGGGAAACUGUAGCUAAUACCGGAUACGACCCUCGGCGGCAUCGCCAGGGGGUGGAAAGAAUUUCGGUCAAGGAUGGACUCGCGGCCUAUCAGCUAGUUGGUGAGGUAACGGCUCACGAAGGCGACGACGGGUAGCCGGCCUGAGAGGGUGACCGGCCACACUGGGACUGAGACACGGCCCAGACUCCUACGGGAGGCAGCAGUGGGGAAUAUUGCACAAUGGGCGCAAGCCUGAUGCAGCAACGCCGCGUGAGGGAUGACGGCCUUCGGGUUGUAAACCUCUUUCAGCACCGACGAAGCGCAAGUGACGGUAGGUGCAGAAGAAGGACCGGCCAACUACGUGCCAGCCGCCGCCGUAA